rnacentral:rRNA from 1 species
UGGGGAAUUUUGGACAAUGGGGGGAAACCCUGAUCCAGCCAUCCCGCGUGUGCGAUGAAGGCCUUCGGGUUGUAAAGCACUUUUGGCAGGAAAGAAACGUCGCGGGUUAAUACCCCGCGAAACUGACGGUACCUGCAGAAUAAGCACCGGCUAACUACGUGCCAGCAGCCGCGGUAAUACGUAGGGUGCAAGCGUUAAUCGGAAUUACUGGGCGUAAAGCGUGCGCAGGCGGUUCGGAAAGAAAGAUGUGAAAUCCCAGAGCUUAACUUUGGAACUGCAUUUUUAACUACCGGGCUAGAGUGUGUCGGAGGGAGGUGGAAUUCCGCGUGUAGCAGUGAAAUGCGUAGAUAUGCGGAGGAACACCGAUGGCGAAGGCAGCCUCCUGGGAUAACACUGACGCUCAUGCACGAAAGCGUGGGGAGCAAACAGGAUUAGAUACCCUGGUAGUCCACGCCCUAAACGAUGUCAACUAGCUGUUGGGGCCUUCGGCCUUGGUAGCGCAGCUAACGCGUGAAGUUGACCGCCUGGGGAGUACGGUCGGCAAGAUUAAACUCAAAUGAAUUGACGGGGGUCAUAGCUG